rnacentral:rRNA from 1 species
UACAGAGGGGGCAAGCGUUGUUCGGAAUUACUGGGCGUAAAGGGCGCGUAGGCGGCCUUCUAAGUCGAACGUGAAAUCCCCGGGCUCAACCCGGGAACUGCGUCUGAUACUGGAUGGCUUGAGUUUGGGAGAGGGAUGCGGAAUUCCAGGUGUAGCGGUGAAAUGCGUAGAUAUCUGGAGGAACACCGGUGGCGAAGGCGGCAUCCUGGACCAACACUGACACUGAGGAGCGAAAGCCAAGGGAGCAAACGGG